GACGAACGCUGGCGGCGUGCCUAAUACAUGCAAGUCGAACGCAGUUGCGAACGGGUGAGUAACGCGUAGGUAACCUGCCUCAUAGCGGGGAACAACUAUUGGAAACGAUAGCAAAUACCUCAUAAUGUGGGAUGGACCUGCGUUGUAUUAGCUAGUUGGUGAGGUAAAGGCUCACCAAGGCCACGAUCCAUAGCCGACCUGAGAGGGUGAUCGGCCACACUGGGACUGAGACACGGCCCAGACUCCUACGGGAGGCAGCAGUAGGGAAUAUUGGACAAUGGGCGAAAGCCUGAUCCAGCCAUGCCGCGUGUGUGAAGAAGGUCUUCGGAUUGUAAAGCACUUUUAGUUGGGAGGCGUUAUCAACAGAAUAAGCACCGGCUAACUUCGUGCCAGCCGCCGCGGUAAUUC
rnacentral:rRNA from 1 species